UAUGAUGUAUGUUGUGAAUCUACUGGCGAAACGUUUCGAUGAUAAUCGUGUUUUAUUUGAAAAAUUCUACUUGGAAGAUGAUGUAAGGAGAAAGUAAGUAUGACGAAAAAUUUGAAUUUUCAUUUCUGAAAUAUUAUUUAUGUACAAUAGUGAGCAUAGGUUUUUCUAGCAAAAAUGACAGAGUAGGGAUAGAAAUAUUUUUAUUAGUUUUUGGUUAAUUUUCAAAUUUGGGAAUUUAGGGUUUAAGAAUUUUAAAACGGGAAUUGAAAAUUUAAAGAUUUGAGAGUUUGGAAAUUAAGAAAUUUAAACAUUUUCAAGUUUGAUCUCCCAAAAACAGCUAGUUAGAGGUCCUUACAUUAUAGUAAUUUUUACCCAACGAUAACUUACAUUUCACUCAAAUAUACUUAGAAAAAAUUUUAACUAUAAAACUGUAAAAAAUUUAAUAUUGAAGAUGUUACUGUGCAAUUAAAUUAACUAUACAAUAUCUUGAAUAAUUUUAACCGUAUGUCUUAUCCUCUGAAUGACAAUACAGUAGACUCUUGUUAUAUUGCCACAAACAGUAUUGCAAUAGAAUAUUCUCAGAAUUAACAAUGCAUCGAUAGAUCAUUAUAUUGUUUCCCCAAAAUUAUGCCUUCAUGAAUCUACAUAAAUGUAAUUAGAAAUUACCAUUACUAUAAAUGUCCCUAUAAAAAUGGCGAUAUAACAAGAGUGUUAAAAAACCUUCUACCUCAAUCUAACGCAUUUUCUAAAUGACCAUCUACUAAACCUCCAAUUUACUAUGGGAUCCCUUGAACGGCAGCGUGGACGACACCAUACAGGAGCCCUCCAACAUCAAAAUAGAGCAGAUCUACACCUUGGCAAAC
rnacentral:misc_RNA from 1 species